GCUUGAUCUCCCCGCCCUGCCAAUCAUCUCCUGCCUUUAUAAAUGCGGAGGAAUAUUGUGAGAGGGAGAGCCGGACUUGUGAAGGAGAUUCCGCGCUGCAGACUGGAGCUGGAACGCGGAGAGACUUUAUGAAACUGAUAGAUCCGAGUAUUUUAUAUAAACUGCAAUAAUAUAAUCUGUGAUUAACGGAUUGGCGUCGACUGGAUCUUACGUUCAGAGCGGACAGAAAGACAAGGCUGCCUCCCAGUCUCUCUUCACUGCCAGUUACGUCUACUAGACCAGUGCGCUCAUUAAACUGGGACCAGUAAA